CCUUGAGAGUGCGAUUAUUAUAUGCUUUGGGGUGGUCUUAUUUGGAUCUGAAUCUAUUUGGUGAUAUUUGAACUUCCUGUACCUGUAUAUUUAUUUCUUUCUCUAGGUUUAGAAAGUUUUCUGCUAUUAUUUCUUGGAAUAACUUUCUACACCUUGCUAUUUCUCAACUCCCUCUCAAAUUCCAAUGACUCCUACAUUUGCUCUUUGGAGGCUUUUCCCUAGAUCUAGUAGGUGUUUUUAAUUUCUUUUCAUUCUUUUUUUCUUUUCUGUGUGCAUUCAAACAAACAGUCUGAGCCUUAACAUGCAAAUUGCUGCUCCAAGAUGGCCUACUAGAUGCAGCCAGUAGAAACAUCUCCCAGUGAGGGACCAAGACAUCAGGAAGACUGGUGCACUCCUAGCAGAUCUUCAGAGGGAAGGCAUUGAGAGUGGACAGAGGGAAGGCACAGAGGCUGGGCUGAAGGGGAGGAAGCUGGGAACCCUGAACAGGGAUACUGCACACCAGGACUCAUUCUGGCCCCCACUGAUUCCUGUGGAAGGGGUGAGUCUAACAGGCAAGGAGCAGCCCACCCUCACCAUGGGCCUCCAGAAUCCCAACAAGAGGAGAGCUCUCAACCACCAGAUAUACUUGAGUUGGCAGGAAGAGAUGUCUAGAGAAGGGGUAGGGGCAGAAAUCCUGCUGGUGCAGAGCCCAGAGAGUUCGGUGCAACAAUGUCUGUACUGGAGUACAGCCAGGGAAACCCAUGUCCCUAGGCUUGACUUGCUCCCAUAGGACACUUUAGCCCUAGGGGCACAGUCAGACCUGAACUCUGAAGGGUGGUGUUGCCCAUGAGACAGGACCAGUUUGACCUCAGCAUCCCUUGGUCUGCUGGCGUCUCACAGAGCCCCAGCCUGGCUGCACCUGCCUGCAGUGCAGCUCCCAGAUACCUCCUUGGGGGCCCACUGCUGCUGGCAUGAAUACACUCCGUUCUCCUGCCCCUCACCAUACCUGUCAGUGUUGGUGGGCAUGGAACACACCAGCUCUGCUACCAACAGUGCCCUGGCCCUGUGCCAAAACUGCAACUGGCACAAAGCUAGGCAUGGAGAACAGCGAAUCCCACCCCUUCCCUGAGCAGCCACCACCACCGAUGUGAGCACACACACAACUGCACACACAGUCCUGCUCCCAACACCACCCUGUCUCCAUGCUAACACCACCGCCACAAACACAUGCAUGGUCACUGGCAGAAGACCCUUGUGCCGCCCAAGCCAUGCUACCUCUUUUGCUGCUAUGAAUGCCUGCAUGGAGGCUGGUACCCCAGCACCCACUAGCAUCCUGCCGCAGCCAAGGAGCAUUCACCUUACCAUGGUGCCACUGCUGUUGCUGCUGGUAAGUGCAGAUGAAAACUAAUCCAGUGGCCACCACCCUAUGAGUAACUGGAACUCUAGUAGGAACGUAAACAGAUAUAGACACUUUGGGAAACAGUUUGGCAGUUUCUACAAAAGUUAGGCACACAUAUACCAUGUGAACCAGUCAUCCCCAAGCAAAUUAUUUCCCUUAUAGAUAUUUACCCAACAGAAAUAAAAUCAUAUGCCCAUACAAAGACUUGUUCACAAAUGUCCAUAGCAGCUGUAUUAUAAUUUAUAUAUAUGUCAAUAUUUUGACUAUCACAAGAGUCAAAAACCGGAAACAACUCAAAUGUCCAUCAGCAAGUGGCAGAUUUUUCUUAAGUUGCAGUAUAUACAUAUAGUGGAACACUACUCAACAGAAAAGAAUAGUGAACUGUGGACACAGGUCACAACAAAGAUAAAUCUCAAAAUAAUUUUGCCGAGUGAAAAAAGCCAAAUAAAAAACCCUGCAUAUUUUAUAAUUCAACUUAUAUAAAAUUUGAGGAAAUGCAAACUAAUUUAUAGUGACAAAAAGUAGAUCAGUGGUUGCCUGGGGUCAUAGGUGCAGAAUGCAGGGAGGAAGGAACCAUAGGAAGGGGUCAUAAAAGGGCACAGGGACACUUUCAGAGUUGAUGGAUAUCAUGGUAGGUAGAAAAUGUCCAUGUCCUAAUCCCCAGCAUUUGUGAAUGUUUUCUUACAUGGUAAAGAGACUUUGCACAUGUGAUGAACAAUCUUGAGGCCAGGGGCGGUGGCUCACGCCUGUAAUCCUAGCACUUUGGGAGGCCCAGGCGGGUGGACUGCCUGAGCUCAGGAGUUCGAGACCAGCCUGGGCAACAUAGUGAAACCCCCUCUCUACUAAAAUACAAAAAAUUAGCCAGGUGUGGUGGCGGGUGCCUGUAAUCCCAGCUACUCUGGGGGCUGGGGCAGGAGAAUCGCUUGAACCCAGGAGGUGGAGGUUGUAGUGAGUCGAGAUCACGCCACUGCACUCCAGCCUGGCGACAAGGUGAGACUCUGUCUCAAAAACAAACAAACAAAAAAAACCAACUCACCAGAAAUAUGUUGCUAAGGAGCAAAUAAAACAUGUAUCCAAACACUUCCAUAUGAGUUUAAAAUACUUAUGAUAAAUCAAGAAAAGGGCAAACAUGUCUUCUAGAGCUGGGAUACACUCAUCUCCUCCCUUAGACAACAGAACUCCAGGUUUGCCAGCCUGGAUUCCAGGACUUACAUCAGCAGCUUCACAGGUUCUUAGGACCUUGGCCUCACACCAAGAAUUACACAAUCAGCUUCCCUAGACCUGAGGCCUUUAGACUUGGAUUAAGCCAUACUACCAGCAUCCCGGAGUCUCCAGUUCACCAAUGGCCUGUUGUGGGACUUCUCAGCUUCCAUAAUCACAUGAGCCAAUUCCCAUAAUAACCCCCCUCAUAUAUGUGUAUGUGUGUGUAUAUGUAUCUAUAAAUCUAUAUUUAUAUAUAUAUCUGUGUGUGUAAUCUAUAUGUGUGUCUCUCUAUCCUAUUGGGUCUGUCUCUCUAGAGAACUCUAGUACACAACUAUUGCCUGUUUAAUAAUGACAAUUCAGGUAGUAGAAGUACACACACAUUUAAGAAUAAAUUUUUAAAAGAUAUCAAUAAAAAUUUGGUGAUGAGAGGGAGGAAAUAUCUACAAGCCAAUUUCAUCAUUGCUCAUACUAAGAAAUAUUUUAAAUGAGGAGAUUAAGGUCUUUAUAUCAAAUAGAAACUAUAAAGAUUAUUGCUAGAUCAAAAUUAUAAACCUUCUUGAAUAGUCUAACUGCAAUAAGAAGCCACAGAGUAAAACAUUAUAAUUUAUAUAUAUAAAAAAUCACAUGAAAAACUUAAAAAUAGAGCAUAUCAAUAGAUGUAAAUGAUGUAAAUGAACAUAGCAUGUAUUACAAGAAAAAUAUUUUCAUAUUAGAUUACAAAGAAAAACCCAACUGUCUACUAUACACAAAAGGUACAUUUAAAAUAAACUAAUUCUGGAAGUUGAAAAUAAAAGGAUGGGCAAAUGUAUAACA
rnacentral:lncRNA from 1 species